rnacentral:rRNA from 1 species
UAGGCCUACGGGGCGCAGCAGUGAGGAAUAUUGGUCAAUGGCCGCAGGGCUGAACCAGCCAAGUCGCGUGAGGGAUGACGGUCCUAUGGAUUGUAAACCUCUUUUGUCAGGGAGCAAAGGGCGCCACGUGUGGCGUUUUGCGAGUACCUGAAGAAAAAGCAUCGGCUAACUCCGUGCCAGCAGCCGCGGUAAUACGGAGGAUGCGAGCGUUAUCCGGAUUUACUGGGUGUAAAGGGAGCGUAGGCGGCCUGGCAAGCCUGAUGUGAAAUACCGGGGCCCAACCCCGGGGCUGCAUUGGGAACUGC